GACGAACGCUGGCGGCGUGCUUAACACAUGCAAGUCGAACGGAAAGGCCCUGCUUGCAGGGUACUCGAGUGGCGAACGGGUGAGUAACACGUGGGUGAUCUGCCCUGCACUUCGGGAUAAGCCUGGGAAACUGGGUCUAAUACCGGAUAGGAGCCAUUUUUAGUGUGAUGGUUGGAAAGUUUUUUCGGUGUAGGAUGAGCUCGCGGCCUAUCAGCUUGUUGGUGGGGUAAUGGCCUACCAAGGCGGCGACGGGUAGCCGGCCUGAGAGGGUGGACGGCCACAUUGGGACUGAGAUACGGCCCAGACUCCGACGGGAGGCAGCAGUGGGGAAGAUUGCACAAUGGGCGCAAGCCUGAUGCAGCGACGCCGCGUGGGGGAUGACGGCCUUCGGGUUGUAAACUCCUUUCGCUAGGGACGAAGCUUUUUGUGACGGUACCUAGAUAAGAAGCACCGGCUAACUACGUG
rnacentral:rRNA from 1 species